UACGGGGGAGCAAACGUUGUUCGGAAUCACUGGGCGUAAAGGGCGUGUAGGCGGCUGGAUAAGUGGGAUGUUAAAUCCCCGGCUCAACCGGGGACCUGCAUCUCAUACUGUUCAGCUCGAGCACAUCAGAGGAGACUGGAAUUCCGGUGUAGCGGUGAAAUGCGUAGAUAUCGGGAGGAACACCAGUGGCGAAGGCGAGUCUCUGGAUGAUGCUGACGCUGAGGCGCGAAAGCCAGGGAGCAAACGGG
rnacentral:rRNA from 1 species